CUANANUGCAGUCGAGCGAACAGAGAAGGAGCUUGCUCCUUUGACGUUAGCGGCGGACGGGUGAGUAACACGUGGGCAACCUACCCUAUAGUUUGGGAUAACUCCGGGAAACCGGGGCUAAUACCGAAUAAUCUAUUGUCCCUCAUGGGACAAUACUGAAAGACGGUCUCGGCUGUCGCUAUAGGAUGGGCCCGCGGCGCAUUAGCUAGUUGGUGAGGUAACGGCUCACCAAGGCGACGAUGCGUAGCCGACCUGAGAGGGUGAUCGGCCACACUGGGACUGAGACACGGCCCAGACUCCUACGGGAGGCAGCAGUAGGGAAUCUUCCACAAUGGGCGAAAGCCUGAUGGAGCAACGCCGCGUGAGUGAAGAAGGAUUUCGGUUCGUAAAACUCUGUUGUAAGGGAAGAACAAGUACAGUAGUAACUGGCUGUACCUUGACGGUACCUUAUUAGAAAGCCACGGCUAACUACGUGCCAGCAGCCGCGGUAAUACGUAGGUGGCAAGCGUUGUCCGGAAUUAUUGGGCGUAAAGCGCGCGCAGGUGGUUUCUUAAGUCUGAUGUGAAAGCCCACGGCUCAACCGUGGAGGGUCAUUGGAAACUGGGAGACUUGAGUGCAGAAGAGGAUAGUGGAAUUCCAAGUGUAGCGGUGAAAUGCGUAGAGAUUUGGAGGAACACCAGUGGCGAAGGCGACUAUCUGGUCUGUAACUGACACUGAGGCGCGAAAGCGUGGGGAGCANACAGGAUUAGAUACCCUGGUAGUCCACGCCGUAAACGAUGAGUGCUAAGUGUUAGGGGGUUUCCGCCCCUUAGUGCUGCAGCUAACGCAUUAAGCACUCCGCCUGGGGAGUACGGUCGCAAGACUGAAACUCAAAGGAAUUGACGGGGGCCCGCACAAGCGGUGGANCAUGUGGUUUAAUUNNAAGCAACGCGAAGAACCUUACCAGGUCUUGACAUCCCGUUGACCACUGUAGAGAUAUGGUUUUCCCUUNNGGGACAACGGUGACAGGUGGUGCAUGGUUGUCGUCNC
rnacentral:rRNA from 1 species